AAAUUGAAGAGUUUGAUCAUGGCUCAGAUUGAACGCUGGCGGCAGGCCUAACACAUGCAAGUCGAACGGUAACAGGAAUCAGCUUGCUGCUUUGCUGACGAGUGGCGGACGGGUGAGUAAUGUCUGGGAAACUGCCUGAUGGAGGGGGAUAACUACUGGAAACGGUAGCUAAUACCGCAUAACGUCGCAAGACCAAAGAGGGGGACCUUCGGGCCUCUUGCCAUCGGAUGUGCCCAGAUGGGAUUAGCUAGUAGGUGGGGUAACGGCUCACCUAGGCGACGAUCCCUAGCUGGUCUGAGAGGAUGACCAGCCACACUGGAACUGAGACACGGUCCAGACUCCUACGGGAGGCAGCAGUGGGGAAUAUUGCACAAUGGGCGCAAGCCUGAUGCAGCCAUGCCGCGUGUAUGAAGAAGGCCUUCGGGUUGUAAAGUACUUUCAGCGGGGAGGAAGGGAGUAAAGUUAAUACCUUU
rnacentral:rRNA from 1 species